UUUUCUUUUGUUCAUAUCUUUUGCUUAGUUUACAUCUUGGGUUUGUUGGCAUUGAUUCACCAGCACUUAUUAGGGCAUUGCAAAACACCAGCGACAGAAAGAAACCAAACCACAAAUCCCUCAGAACAAAUUCCCGGCGCAGAGCCCCGUUGCAGACUUGCAGACCCAGCCUCACAGGGGAGCCCCCGGCGAUGUGGAAGCUCAGCGGUGAAAAGCAAAUGGCAGAUAUUCUCAUACUUGGGUUGGGUAAGUAUGAAUAUUGAAAUCCGCUCUCCAGUGCAGAGAGGCUGUGGAAACUGAAUCGAGGUUUCAGUUGAGCAUCAGGUGGGUGAAGGCGCUUCCUUCCCUCGCACCGCCUCGUUGGGCAGGCUCACUCCCGUAAGAAGUGAGCGCAG
rnacentral:lncRNA from 1 species